rnacentral:rRNA from 1 species
UGGGGAAUAUUGGACAAUGGGCGAAAGCCUGAUCCAGCCAUGCCGCGUGUGUGAAGAAGGUCUUCGGAUUGUACAGCACUUUAAGUUGGGAGGAAGGGCAGUAAGCGAAUACCUUGCUGUUUUGACGUUACCGACAGAAUAAGCACCGGCUAACUCUGUGCCAGCAGCCGCGGUAAUACAGAGGGUGCAAGCGUUAAUCGGAAUUACUGGGCGUAAAGCGCGCGUAGGUGGUUCGUUAAGUUGAAUGUGAAAGCCCCGGGCUCAACCUGGGAACUGCAUCCAAAACUGGCGAGCUAGAGUAGGGCAGAGGGUGGUGGAAUUUCCUGUGUAGCGGUGAAAUGCGUAGAUAUAGGAAGGAACACCAGUGGCGAAGGCGACCACCUGGGCUCAUACUGACACUGAGGUGCGAAAGCGUGGGGAGCAAACAGG